AUGGAGUUGGGACUGAUUUUCCUUGUUGUUCUUUUAAAAGAUGUCCAGUGUGAGGUGCAGCUGGUGGAAUCUGGGGGAGGCUUGGUGCAGCCUGGAAGUUCCCUGAAACUGUCCUAUACAGUCUCUGGAUUCACAUUCAGUGACUCCUGGAUGAAUUGGGUCUGCCAGGCUCCAGAGAAAGGACUGGAGUGGGUUGCUGAAAUUAGAAACAAAGUUAAUAAUUAUGCAACAUCCUAUGCGGAGUCUAUAAAAGGCAGAUUCACCUUCUCAAGAGAAGAUCCCCAAAGCAGUGUGUACCUGCAAGUGAACAGCUUAGGAGCUGAAGACACCGCCAUUUACUUUUGUUGGAGACACAGUGAUAGGCUUUUAGUACCAAACUCAGACACAAAACCUCCUUGCAGGAGGGCUCAGAACCAGCAGAGGGCAAAAAGAGGACAUGGUGAACUGGGACACUGA